rnacentral:rRNA from 1 species
UACGUAGGGUGCGAGCGUUGUCCGGAAUUAUUGGGCGUAAAGAGCUCGUAGGCGGUUUGUUGCGUCUAUCGUGAAAACCUGCAGCUUAACUGUGGGCUUGCGGUGGAUACGGGCAGACUUGAGUUCGGUAGGGGAGACUGGAAUUCCUGGUGUAGCGGUGAAAUGCGCAGAUAUCAGGAGGAACACCGGUGGCGAAGGCGGGUCUCUGGGCCGAUACUGACGCUGAGGAGCGAAGCGUGGGAGCGAACAGG